rnacentral:rRNA from 1 species
AGGCCAUGAAUCUGGUCUUGGGACACUGUCAGGCGGGCAGUUUGACUGGGGCGGUCGCCUCCCAAAAGGUAACGGAGGCGCUCAAAGGUUCUCUCAGUACGGUCGGAAAUCGGACGUAGAGUGUAAAGGCAAAAGAGAGCUUGAUUGCAAGACAUACAGGUCGAGCAAGGAUGAAAAUCGGACUUAGUGAUCCGGUGGUUCUGCGUGGAAGGGCCAUCGC